rnacentral:rRNA from 1 species
UAUCCUACGGGAGGCAGCAGUAGGGAAUUUUCGUCAAUGGGCGCAAGCCUGAACGAGCAAUGCCGCGUGAACGAGGAAGGUCUUCGGAUCGUAAAGUUCUGUUGAAGGGGAAAAAGAGCGGAGAGAGGAAAUGAACUCCGAUUGAUAUUACCCUUCGAGGAAGUCACGGCUAACUACGUGCCAGCAGCCGCGGUAAUACGUAGGUGGCAAGCGUUGUCCGGAUUUAUUGGGCGUAAAGCGAGUGCAGGCGGUUCAAAAAGUCUUAUGGUGAAACCUUCGGCUCAACCGGAGAAUU